GAUGAACGCUGGCGGCGUGCCUAAUACAUGCAAGUCGAGCGAACGGACGAGAAGCUUGCUUCGCGGAUGUGAGCGGCGGACGGGUGAGAAACACGUGGAUAACCUACCUAUAAGACGGGUAUAACUUCGGGAAACCGGCGCUAAUACCGGAUAAGAUUCUGAACCGCAGGGGUGAAAAGUGAAAGACGGUCGUUGGGGCACGUAUAGAGGGAUCCGCGCUGCUUGAGCUGGUUGGUAAGGUAAAGGGUUACCAAGGGAACUAUGCAUAGCCGACCGGGGAGGGGGAUCGCCCACCUGGGAGCGUGGCCGGCCUCCAUGGGCCUGCGGUACGCCCCAGUCGGCAACCUGCCGCAGUGGGCGAAAGCCUUGCGGAGCAGCGCCGCGUGAGUUAUGACGGUCUUCGGUUCGUAAAACUCUGUUAUGAGUUAAGAACAUAUGUGUAAGUAACUGUGCACAUCUUGACGGUACUUAGUCAGAAAGCCACGGCUAACUACGUG
rnacentral:rRNA from 1 species